rnacentral:misc_RNA from 1 species
GCUACACACCGCCCGUCGCUACUACCGAUUGAAUGGCUCAGUGAGGCGUCCGGACUGGCCCAGAGAGGUGGGCAACUACCACUCAGGGCCGGAAAGCUCUCCAAACUCGGUCAUUUAGAGGAAGUAAAAGUCGUAACAAGGUCUCCGUUGGUGAACCAGCGGAGGGAUCAUUACCGAGUUUACAACUCCCAAACCCCUGUGAACAUACCACUUGUUGCCUCGGCGGAUCAGCCCGCUCCCGGUAAAACGGGACGGCCCGCCAGAGGACCCCUAAACUCUGUUUCUAUAUGUAACUUCUGAGUAAAACCAUAAAUAAAUCAAAACUUUCAACAACGGAUCUCUUGGUUCUGGCAUCGAUGAAGAACGCAGCAAAAUGCGAUAAGUAAUGUGAAUUGCAGAAUUCAGUGAAUCAUCGAAUCUUUGAACGCACAUUGCGCCCGCCAGUAUUCUGGCGGGCAUGCCUGUUCGAGCGUCAUUUCAACCCUCAAGCACAGCUUGGUGUUGGGACUCGCGUUAAUUCGCGUUCCCCAAAUUGAUUGGCGGUCACGUCGAGCUUCCAUAGCGUAGUAGUAAAACCCUCGUUACUGGUAAUCGUCGCGGCCACGCCGUUAAACCCCAACUUCUGAAUGUUGACCUCGGAUCAGGUAGGAAUACCCGCUGAACUAA